rnacentral:lncRNA from 1 species
GGUUUUAUUAGAUAGUGUUAGAGUAGUUGGUGAUGGAAUAAUUGAUGACUAUUCUCCUAGGCAGGAGGCAGGUGAAGUGAGGAAUAACUGGAAGAGCAAGCAGAACUUGUGGAAUAAGAGAAAAGAAAACAUCAUUAGAAAACAGGAAAAAAAGAAACGGAGCAAAUCUGCCAUCAGCCUUAGCUAGGCACCUGGUCGCCAGAGGAAGGCGAGGGCUGGGGAGCGGAGCAGCAGGCGUUGCCUUGACACGAGGCCGAGCCCGGGGCCAAGCCCUGCAGCGGCGGGGGUCCUCUGGCCAGGUGGGCACCCGUCCACGCAGCACCAUCGAGGAGCUCAAUG